AAAGGUAGUUAAGUAUAUUAUUUAGUUAUAUUAUUUUAUAUGAAAAGGUGAAAUUUAUUAAUAUGAAAAUAAAUCAAAAAUAGCUAAUUAAACUGAAGCUGCGAAAUCUUUGAGGGAAACUAGGAUUAGAUACCCUAUUAUUCAAAGAUAUAAAUCAAAUUUACCAGAGUACUACGAAUUAAAUAAUUUAAAACUCAAAGGACUUGGCGGUGUUUUAGACUUUUUAGGGGAACCUGUCUCGUAAUCGACAAUCCGCGUUAAACCUAACCUUUUUUUGUAACUUCAGCUUGUAUACCGUUGUCGUCAGGUAGCUUUUAAGAAUUAUAAAAGUUAGCAAUAUAAACAGUAAAUUAUUACGUCAAAUCAAGGUGCAGCUAAUAAAAUGGGGAAGAUGGGUUACAAUUAAAAUUUAUAAUUAUGAAUGAAAUUAAUGAAAUUUAUUUAUUGAAAGAGGACUUAAAAGUAAAAUAGAUUAUAUAAAUAAUUUGAAUAAAGCUCUGAAACGUGUACAAACCGCCCGA
rnacentral:rRNA from 1 species